GACGAACGCUGGCGGCGUGCUUAACACAUGCAAGUCGAACGGAAAGGCCCUGCUUUUGUGGGGUGCUCGAGUGGCGAACGGGUGAGUAACACGUGAGUAACCUGCCCUUGACUUUGGGAUAACUUCAGGAAACUGGGGCUAAUACCGGAUAGGAGCUCCUGCUGCAUGGUGGGGGUUGGAAAGUUUCGGCGGUUGGGGAUGGACUCGCGGCUUAUCAGCUUGUUGGUGGGGUAGUGGCUUACCAAGGCUUUGACGGGUAGCCGGCCUGAGAGGGUGACCGGCCACAUUGGGACUGAGAUACGGCCCAGACUCCUACGGGAGGCAGCAGUGGGGAAUAUUGCAUAAUGGGCGGAAGCCUGAUGCAGCAACGCCGCGUGCGGGAUGACGGCCUUCGGGUUGUAAACCGCUUUCGCCUGUGACGAAGCGUGAGUGACGGUAAUGUGUAAAGAAGCACCGGCUAACUACGUG
rnacentral:rRNA from 1 species